AAAGGCUUGGUUUUAAACUUCAGCGAGGAAGAAGGCCUGAGGGUUAUACCCUUCAGAAGGACAUCACUCGCAGAAGAAGCCCCGGCUAAUUCCGUGCCAGCAGGCCGCGGUAAUACGGAGGGUGCGAGCGUUAUUGGAAUUACUGGGCGUAAAGCGCGCGUAGGUGGCUUGAUAAGCCGGUUGUGAAAGCCCCGGGCUCAACCUGGGAACGGCAUCCGGAACUGUCAGGCUAGAGUGCAGGAGAGGAAGGUAGAAUUCCCGGUGUAGCGGUGAAAUGCGUAGAGAUCGGGAGGAAUACCAGUGGCGAAGGCGGCCUUCUGGACUGACACUGACACUGAGGUGCGAAAGCGUGGGUAGCAAACAGGAUUAGAUACCCUGGUAGUCCACGCCGUAAACGAUGUCGACUAGCCGUUGGGUUCCUUGAGAACUUUGUGGCGCAGUUAACGCGAUAAGUCGACCGCCUGGGGAGUACGGCCGCAAGGUUAAAACUCAAAUGAAUUGACGGGGGCCCGCACAAGCGGUGGAGCAUGUGGUUUAAUUCGAUGCAACGCGAAGAACCUUACCUACCCUUGACAUCGUGCGAACUUGGUAGAGAUACCUUGGUGCCUUCGGGAACGCACAGACAGGUGCUGCAUGGCUGUCGUCAGCUCGUGUUGUGAAAUGUUGGGUUAAGUCCCGUAACGAGCGCAACCCUUGUCCCUAUUUGCCAGCGAUUCGGUCGGGAACUCUAGGGAGACUGCCGGUGACAAACCGGAGGAAGGUGGGGACGACGUCAAGUCAUCAUGGCCCUUACGGGUAGGGCUACACACGUGCUACAAUGGUCGGUACAAAGGGUUGCAAUACCGCGAGGUGGAGCUAAUCCCAUAAAGCCGGUCUCAGUCCGGAUCGGAGUCUGCAACUCGACUCCGUGAAGUCGGAAUCGCUAUGUAAUCGUGAAUCAGAAUGUCACGGUGAAUACGUUCCCGGGCCUUGUACACACCGCCCGUCACAACCAUGGGAGUGGACUGCACCAGAAGUGGUUAGCUUAACCUUCGGGGGAGCGAUCCCCAUGGU
rnacentral:rRNA from 1 species